GGGGCUGACUGGCUUUGACAGCGUGUAGAAGUGGUGAGCAAGCAUGCAGAGCAAUGAUGGCUACGCUCUUUAAUCUGAGACAUCAAAAAUUCAAAUGGCGAAAACAACUACGCUCUCGCUGCCUAAUUGAAGAACAGUAGAUUAGCUUUAUCGCCGCAACAGUUGCGGCGACGAGACAUCACCCGAUUGUCCUUUUCCCGAGACGGAUCGACAAGGUGGUGCAGGUAAAUCGGGAAUUUGGCGCCGAAAGCCUCGAAAAGCGCCGAGACUUUUAGAGGAUAAGGAAAAGAUUGGUGGUCUCAUGCCUGUCUUUUCUCGAAAACCAACUUGAGAAUAAGCAUGUAGAAACCUCAUUAGUUCCGCGUUUGGACGAGGGUUCAAACCCCUCCAGCUCCACAA
rnacentral:tmRNA from 1 species